rnacentral:tRNA from 1 species
GCCGAGAUGGGGUAGCGGUAGUCCUAGGAGACUGUGGAUCUCCUGGCCCGGGUUCGAAUCCCGGUCUCGGCC